GGGGAAUAUUGCACAAUGGGCGCAAGCCUGAUGCAGCCAUGCCGCGUGUAUGAAGAAGGCCUUCGGGUUGUAAAGUACUUUCAGCGAGGAGGAAGGCGAUAAGGUUAAUAACCUUGUCGAUUGACGUUACUCGCAGAAGAAGCACCGGCUAACUCCGUGCCAGCAGCCGCGGUAAUACGGAGGGUGCAAGCGUUAAUCGGAAUUACUGGGCGUAAAGCGCACGCAGGCGGUCUGUUAAGUCAGAUGUGAAAUCCCCGGGCUCAACCUGGGAACUGCAUUUGAAACUGGCAGGCUUGAGUCUUGUAGAGGGGGGUAGAAUUCCAGGUGUAGCGGUGAAAUGCGUAGAGAUCUGGAGGAAUACCGGUGGCGAAGGCGGCCCCCUGGACAAAGACUGACGCUCAGGUGCGAAAGCGUGGGGAGCAAAC
rnacentral:rRNA from 1 species